rnacentral:rRNA from 1 species
ACGGGGUGCAGCAGGCGCGAAAACUUCGCACUGCGCGAAAGCGCGACGAGGGAAUCCCAAGUGUAUGCACGUAAGUGUAUACUGUUUCUCUGUCUAAAAAGCAGAGAGAGUAAGAGCUGGGUAAGACGGGUGCCAGCCGCCGCGGUAAUACCUGCAGCUCGAGUGGUGAUCGUUAUUAUUGGGCCUAAAACGUCCGUAGCCGGUCUUCUAAAUGCCUGGGUAAAUCGUAUGGCUUAACCAUACGAAUUCCGGGUAGACUGUUAGACUUGAGACCGGGAGAAGCUAGAGGUACUCCUGGGGUAGAGGUGAAAUUCUGUAAUCCUAGGGGGACGACCAGUGGCGAAGGCGUCUAGCUAGAACGGGUCCGACGGUGAGGGACGAAGCCCUGGGGCGCAAACGGGAUUAGAUACCCCGGUAGUCCAGGGUGUAAACGCUGCUUGCUUGAUGUUAGUCUGGCUCCGAGCCAGAUUAGUGUCGGAGAGAAGUUGUUAAGCAAGCUGCCUGGGAAGUACGGCCGCAAGACUGAAACUUAAAGGAAUUGGCGGGGGAGCAC